GUCAGCGUGGUGUAGUGGUUUGAGUGCUGGGCUGCGACUCUGGAGAGCAGGGUUCAAAUCCCAGCUCGGCCA